GAUGAACGCUGGCGGCGUGCCUAAUACAUGCAAGUCGAGCGAACGGACGAGAAGCUUGCUUCUCUGAUGUUAGCGGCGGACGGGUGAGCAACACGUGGAUAACCUACCUAUAAGACUGGGAUAACUUCGGGAAACCGGAGCUAAUACCGGAUAAUAUUUUGAACCGCAUGGUUCAAAAGUGAAAGACGGUCUUGCUGUCACUUAUAGAUGGAUCCGCGCUGCAUUAGCUAGUUGGUAAGGUAACGGCUUACCAAGGCAACGAUGCGUAGCCGACCUGAGAGGGUGAUCGGCCACACUGGAACUGAGACACGGUCCAGACUCCUACGGGAGGCAGCAGUAGGGAAUCUUCCGCAAUGGGCGAAAGCCUGACGGAGCAACGCCGCGUGAGUGAUGAAGGUCUUCGGAUCGUAAAACUCUGUUAUUAGGGAAGAACAUAUGUGUAAGUAACUGUGCACAUCUUGACGGUACCUAAUCAGAAAGCCACGGCUAACUACGUG
rnacentral:rRNA from 1 species